UUACAGCCCAUCAAUAUCAGUAGUUGAGUUCAAAAUGUGUAAUGUCACACCAGGUCGCUGUUACAGUGCUUCAGUAGCUGUCCAGCAUUCUUCCUAAGAGGAAAUCUACACUAGAGCUGGAGGUGUAAUUUCCUACUCGAGUAGACAUACCUGCACUAGCUCGGAUCAAGCUAGCGCAGAAAAAAUAAAGUGUAGCCACAGUGGUGUCAGCAGCGAGAUGGGCUAGUCACCCAAAUAUGAUCCUAUCUGAGACCUUGGAUACAUACUGAGGUGGCUAGUCCCUCCCGGCAGCUGUGCCACUGGGUUUACACCUUCUAUUUUAAACUAUUUUUAAUUGUUAACUGUUUCUGACUGUUUACCCGAGCUGCACAUUACACUUCCAACUCCAUUGUAGGUAUACAUGUAGAGCCAUCUGAAACCCAGCCUCAGAGGAAAGACCAGCAUAGUAGGUUCUUACUCCCUUGGGAGAAAAAGUGAACCAUGACCUCUAAUGGAAGGAGGAUAAUGAGCUAUUCAAGACAAGUUUCCAUUUUCCACUCACACCCCAAUCUUCUCUUCAAUCCCAGCACAAAACCAAAAUUCAGUAUAUGGCCAUCUGAGCUCUGAUAACAUGCUCAGCUCUCUAGAAAUGUGCUUUUCACACGGAUAAUGAAGUCACCCAGACACUCAACUGGUUUAGAGCAGGAAGUCCAUAACAAGUCCUUUAUUAGGGGUUAUCUACACACAAAUUUGCACAAGUUUAGUUAAACUGGUUUAGAUAAACUGAUGCAAACCUCUGUGUGUGGAGGGAUGCUUUUAUUUUGGUUAAAGGGUGGCUAAUUUUGAUUUAACUUAAACUGUUCCCAGUUGACUUUACGCUGAAUCAAAAUAAGCCUAGUUUAAACCAAAACUGUGUUUUAAUGCCAAAUUGGGUUUAACAACAUACCUUUAGGUACAAUUUGCAUGUAGACAAGUCCUUAUUUAAAUUUUUCUCAUGCGUUUGUAGCUUGUUGGAUACAUUUGUUUUAUCAUCUGGGAAAUAAUUUUUUAAAAAAUCCUGCCAUAGGCAGUUUAUCCUGAAGUUUCCAGUCAAACGGGAUUAUUUGAGAAAUACAAUCAUGUGACUUUCCUUUUUUCCCUCAAGUUAACAGUAAUUUUAAAAAUUAACUGUUUCCAGCCACAUACAUCCCCUCUGUAAAAAUGCCAUUUGUCAUAUCUUAGUCGUAUAUACAUUUGUUUCACUAUAAAACUCAAAACUGUCUCUUGUUACUACUUGAGUCAGGUAAUUCUGCUCUAUGACCUGGUCAUGUUAUUUGCCUGCUUUUAAAACGUGUGAGGAAGUAGUUGAUAAUGGACUCUUUUUUUUUUUUUUUUUUUUUCAAAAUUCUCCACAUGAAGUUUUAUUGCACUUCUCUUUCAGAAACCAGGAAGAGCAGCAUGAGACCGAAAAAAAUAAAUUUUGCCUUUCUGUUACUUAUAUAACCAAGGUGGAACAAUUCAAAUUAAGGCAAUUUAAAUCACUGAUUUAAUUCAUGAUUUAAAAUCUCAUGACUUAAAAAAGACCACAUUGAUUUAAAUCAGGUUCAGGCUUUCGAAAACUAAUUUGAACAUUUGUGCUAUUUAAUUUUAGACAUAGGUGCUGACACCAUGGGUGCUCCAGGGCUGGAACAUCCAUGGGAAAAAAAAAACGGGUGCUUAGCAUUCACCGGCAGCCAAACUCUUCCCCCCGCAACCCCCAGUGCCUCCUGCCCGCUUGCGGCCUUGCUGAUCAACCCCUCCUCCUCCUUCCCAGCACCUCCCGCCGUGGAUCAGCUGUUCUGUGGGGGGAGGAGAAAGGGCAGGGCGCGCUUGGGAGAGGGGGUGGAAUAGGGCAGAGAAGGGGUCAGGAAGAGGUGAGGGCGGGAAGAAGCGUGAUGGGAGCUUGGAUGGAGUGGGGGCGGGGCCUGGGGCAAAGCAGGGCCUGGGGUUGAGCACCCCCAGGGAAAGCUGGAAACCAGCACCUGUGACUUUAGAUUAAAAUUUGUAAUGAACUAUAUUCUAAAUCCUGUUUAUUCUAAAAUGCUACUUCUGGUAAGGUCUCUUACUUGAAUUUCACAAAACUGCUAAAGGCAAAAAAACAAAAUAUUGAAAAUUGGAAGCCCUCAUGCUACCAACACUUAAACAAGUACAUAAAAGUAGUCACGAGACGGCCCAUCGACUUCGACACAACUGCAUGUGCAUAAGUGACUAAAAUUUCAUUUUGAUUAAGAUCUUUUCUGUUAGUGGCAUAAAAUCUUUGGCACUUCAAAACAAAAUUGCUUCAGUUCUGAGAAUGAAAGUUCAUUUAAACAUUCAAUACAUUAAUAAAGUUGUGAAUUUUUUGUGUCUGGAUAAGCCAAAAUCUUCAAAAAUAGAAGCCUAAAGUUAGGCUCCUAAACUCAUAUUUAGACUUCUAAAAGUAGGUGUGUCAAAGCCACCUAAAUGACUUAGGAGGACAAGUCCCAUUGACUUCAAGAUGCAAAUUGUGGUGGAGGAGCAUAGCCUGGUUGAAGCAUUUCAGCUUUUUCACUUGUGGAAGUUCAAAGUAUUGGAAGGUGGAGUUGGUUACAAAUAAAGUGCCAAUAUUAUUGCUUAUUAAUUUUAUCUUUGUAUUUUCCUCAUCCUAAGGGUGUUAAUAAGGCCUUAGACUUGUCAUUUUCAACAUAGAUGGCAUGUUAAGUGUGAAACUUCUUCGUGGAAAAAUGUGUUGUAUCUGAAAUUAUACUAACAAUUAGGAAACUAGGUAAAGAAAGUAGAAAACAUCCAUGUUAGCAAAUUAAGACUAUAAAAUGGGAAGAAAGUAAAUAAUCAGCACCAAGCAAAUAAAAAAAAUGAUUUAAAUAAUAAAUAGAUGUUUAGGGUUUUUUAAAUCAUGAUUUUUAUUAACCCUUCUUAUAAUUUUCUCAAACUUUCACCUUUUAUGCUGAAAUUUGUCAAGCCUGGUCUCAGCUCGAGACUAAAAUUUUUGGGAAAGCUUAAGCAAAAAUGGUUCAGCUGUUUUCAAUAGCAAAAAACAGUUAAAAGAAAAAUACACUUAAGCCAAUACAAAGAAAGUUGAAAUUUGGCAUGGAGAUAUUCCCUGGGUUAGUCAAAGGAAGUGAGUUUAUGGAAAAAAUAUCAUUCCCAGCCCAGGUUUUCCAGUGCAGUCUGUCUUUGUGUCUCUCCUUUAGACUGUUUAUUGAUCUGUUUACAUCAAUCUCCUUGUCAGUUUCUUUAUUAUUAUUUAUUUGUAUUACAGAAGCUCCUAGAGACCUCAGUGAGAUCAGGGCUUCAUUGUGUUGCAUGUUGCAUAAACCUAUAGUAAGAAAGAGAAAUUUUCCUUUAGUACCUCCUUCCCAGGGGUGCAGCCAGCCGUUUGAACUAUGGGUACACACAGGUGGAUCAGUUGCACAAGAUGUCCUCAUGAUCUUGUAAGACAGAUUUGAUCUAGCAGAAGGUUUAAUGUUUGUAAAAGGAAUGGUAAUAAUCAAAAUGGGCUUGCUGGGCUCCCAGGAAACAAAGUCCUGUAAGCACCUAAGGUACUCCACUCCGCAUAGGCCUCUAGACUUAAUGAAGAUGAGUUUGGCUACUUCUCUAAUUACAUCCCUAGUGGGAUCAAUGGAGAGCACAAGUAGCUGGCAUGCACUGAGAAACUUGUCUCUGCAGCCUGGUGGCAUGGGACUUUCUGCUCCAAGACCUAGGUCUGGUCUACAAUACAAAGUAAAGCCAACAUAAGUCUAUAUGCAUCCCUCUGUUUGUGCAUGUGUCUAUACUCAGAUUUCUCUCUGGCCGAUUUGGGUGACCCAUUACAGUGACAUUUCCUCCCCGAGCGGUGCAGAGCCACAGUCGACCUACUUAGGUUGACGCAGCAUGAAUAUAGACACUGCGUUACUUGUGUCAACCCUCACAGUCCUCCAGUACCUGUCCCACAGUUCCCAUCUCCCAUUAACAGUGCUCUGUUCGCAGUCUGGAACUCCACUGCCCAGGGGUCACAGAGACCAGAAGUCCACUCCCCUCUUUAAGCCCUCCCACCCCAUGUGCUUUUGAAAUGCUUUUUCCUGAUUACCCCCCUUGGUGAACAUACUUAGCACACCUACCAAUUCACCUUUGUUGUAUGCAUCCGAUCAUGCCAGCUUCACACACACACAACACUACUAGACAUGCUCCUGCCUGGAGUCGGUAGGAAGUAUUGGAUCACCUGGGCCCGUGGGGAGAACAGGCUGUGCAAGCCCACCAUAGAAACGUUGACAUUUACAAGCAGCUUGCAGGGGAGAUGCAGGCAAAGGGACGUGACAGGAGUCAGAAGCAGUCGACAUGAAAGUGAAGGAACUUCACAAAGGAUACCGCAAAACAAGGAAGGGCAACUAUAGAUCUGGUGCUGCCCCACAGAUCUGCUGCUUUUACAACAAACUGUAUGCCAUACCUGGUAGAGACCCCACCAUCAGCCCACAACGGAUACCCCUGCCAUGAACAGCAAGGAGGAGGAGGGUGGAGACAUUUUGGGGGUCUGUAACUGUGCUGCAAGCUGGGAACUGUUUGAAACGCCUCAGGAGUCUAACCAGUCCCAGCAGGUGACUGGAGUCCAGCCCACUGACAAAGGGGAAGGGAGGUCGGCUUCUGACAUGGUGGCCUUGAGGGGUUCACCCUGAUCAUGAGAAGGAAGAAGACUAAGGAGGAUAUGUCCCAUGAGAUCCUCUAUGCCACAGUUGCCUCAGACUGUGAUCAAAGGGCUUGGAGGGAAAUGUGCCAGGACCUAAUAGUUUUGGGCAGGUAACAAACGAAAACGUUGCAGACCAAGGUUGAUCUACAAGUCCAAAGAUCCCAGAUCAGAAUCCUUUGCAGCCCUUGGAGAACUCCAUGGUCACUGUUCCUUACACCGUCAACAUUCCAUGUGGCUCGGCGGUGUAUAUCCUUACCCCUACCACUCCAUGGUGGCAUCAGUGAGGGGAACCAUAGCUGCGUAUAUACUGACCUGUGAAAACCACAGAUAGGGGGGCAGGGAGGGAGCGUAGCCACAACGGACUGUAUUGCAUGGACAUAAAUGUUUUCUUCCACUUUCACUUGUAAGCUGUGUUCACCCUUAAUAGUGUUGGUAAAAGUUUAUUUUUUUAACCGUUUAUAUGUAUGUUUACACUUUAAUUUUAAUAACUGCUGAUUUGCUCACAAUAAAGCACUAUUUUUGGAAA